rnacentral:rRNA from 1 species
AGUAAUGUCUGGGAAACUGCCUGAUGGAGGGGGAUAACUACUGAAACGGUAGCUAAUACCGCAUAACGUCGCAAGACCAAAGAGGGGGACCUUCGGGCCUCAUGCCAUCAGAUGUGCCCAGAUGGGAUUAGCUAGUAGGUGGGGUAACGGCUCACCUAGGCGACGAUCCCUAGCUGGUCUGAGAGGAUGACCAGCCACACUGGAACUGAGACACGGUCCAG